CACCGGUAAAACCGGUAUAUUUGUUUCAGUGUGCCUAACCAAAUCAACAUCUAAAUGUGAGUGAAAUUCACUCAUGAAGUAAAUGCUCUAAACAGCAAUCACAUGAAUUUGUGAGCUGUCCUAGAAGACAACGACUUAUUUGCACCUGAAAUCAAGUAAGAUGAC
rnacentral:misc_RNA from 1 species